AUACGGAGGGUGCAAGCGUUACUCGGAAUCACUGGGCGUAAAGCGCGCGCCGGCGGUCUUUUAAGUUGGAUGUGAAGCCUACGGCUCAACCGUAGAACUGCAUCCAAAACUAUUAGACUAGAGUGUGGGAGAGGAAGAUGGAAUUAGUUGUGUAGGGGUAAAAUCCGUAGAGAUAACUAGGAAUACCAAAAGCGAAGGCAAUCUUCUGGAACACUACUGACGCUGAGGCGCGAAAGCGUGGGGAGCAAACAGGAUUAGAUACCCUAGUAGUCC
rnacentral:rRNA from 1 species